AGGUGGCAAGCGUUGUCCGGAAUUAUUGGGCGUAACGCGCGCGCAGGCGGUCCUUUAAGUCUGAUGUGAAAGCCCACGGCUCAACCGUGGAGGGUCAUUGGAAACUGGGGGACUUGAGUACAGAAGAGAAGAGUGGAAUUCCACGUGUAGCGGUGAAAUGCGUAGAGAUGUGGAGGAACACCAGUGGCGAAGGCGACGCGUUGGUCUGUAACUGACGCUGAGGCGCGAAAGCGUGGGGAGCAAACAGG
rnacentral:rRNA from 1 species